rnacentral:rRNA from 1 species
GUGGGGAAUAUUGGACAAUGGGCGCAAGCCUGAUCCAGCCAUGCCGCGUGAGUGAUGAAGGCCCUAGGGUUGUAAAGCUCUUUCACCGGUGAAGAUAAUGACGGUAACCGGAGAAGAAGCCCCGGCUAACUUCGUGCCAGCAGCCGCGGUAAUACGAAGGGGGCUAGCGUUGUUCGGAUUUACUGGGCGUAAAGCGCACGUAGGCGGAUCGUUAAGUCGGGGGUGAAAUCCUGGAGCUCAACUCCAGAACUGCCUUCGAUACUGGCGAUCUUGAGUCCGGAAGAGGUGAGUGGAACUCCUAGUGUAGAGGUGGAAUUCGUAGAUAUGAGGAAGAACACCUGUGGCGAAGGCGGCUCACUGGUCCGGUACAGACGCUGAGGUGCGAAAGCGUGGGGAGCAAACAGGAUUAGAAACCCCGGUAGUCC